UACGGAGGAUGCAAGCGUUAUCCGGAAUGAUUGGGCGUAAAGCGUCCGCAGGUGGCUGUGUAAGUCUGCUGUUAAAGAGUGAGGCUCAACCUCAUAAAGGCAGUGGAAACUACAUGGCUAGAGUGCGUUCGGGGCAGAGGGAAUUCCUGGUGUAGCGGUGAAAUGCGUAGAGAUCAGGAAGAACAUCGGUGGCGAAGGCGCUCUGCUGGACCAUAACUGACACUCAGGGACGAAAGCGAGGGGAGCGAAUGGG
rnacentral:rRNA from 1 species